ACGCAUUUGUCUCUCGUCCGAAGGACGCUGCAGCCGGUCUGGAAGUGCAAACGUGACGGCCUGAAGGUCGGGAAAUGGCAGGUGGCCGGUGGCUCGCCUCGUGCGGGUCGUCGGUUGUUAGCCGUCUCGUCAGUGGCUCGUCUCCAGACCGUGGUGUCGCGAGUCCCGUCAGGGACUCCACGUCUCCACCCCAGAGUCGCGGGACAGACCGUGGCAAGGGUGUCUCGUCCAUUUGUCGCACGCCCCACGCGUGGACCUAGAAACGAGACGCCCCGUUCGCUGCGGCGGGCCCGUUGGGGACAGGAGGCUGGCAGCGAGUAGGUCGGUCACCCACCCGACCCGUCUUGAAACACGGACCAAGGAGUCUAACAUGUGCGCGAGUCAAUGGGUCUUGAACAGGCCCAGGGGCGCAAUGAAAGCGAAGGUCGGCCUAGCGUCGGCUGAGCGGGGAUCCCUCUCUCUCGGGAGGGGGCGCACCCGCGACCCGUCCUGUGCUGCUCGCAGCUUGGGCGGAGUUUGAGCGUACACGUUGGG
rnacentral:rRNA from 1 species